CACGUAGGCACCAAGCGUUGUCCGGAUUUAUUGGGCGUAAAGAGCUCGUAGGCGGUUGAGUAAGUCGGGUGUGAAAACUCUGGGCUUAACCCAGAGCCGCCACCCGAUACUGCUCUGACUUGAGUUCGGUAGGGGAGCAGGGAAUUCCUAGUGUAGCGGUGAAAUGCGCAGAUAUUAGGAGGAACACCGGUGGCGAAGGCGGGUCUCUGGGCCGAAACUGACGCUGAGGAGCGAAAGCGUGGGGAGCAAACAGG
rnacentral:rRNA from 1 species